GGGUUGUGAGGUUAAGCGACUAAGCGUACACGGUGGAUGCCCUGGCAGUCAGAGGCGAUGAAGGACGUGCUAAUCUGCGAUAAGCGCCGGUAAGGUGAUAUGAACCGUUAUAACCGGCGAUUUCCGAAUGGGGAAACCCAGUGUGAUUCGUCACACUAUCAUUAACUGAAUCCAUAGGUUAAUGAGGCGAACCGGGGGAACUGAAACAUCUAAGUACCCCGAGGAAAAGAAAUCAACCGAGAUUCCCCCAGUAGCGGCGAGCGAACGGGGAGGAGCCCAGAGCCUGAAUCAGCAUGUGUGUUAGUGGAAGCGUCUGGAAAGGCGCGCGAUACAGGGUGACAGCCCCGUACACAAAAGCGCAUGUGCUGUGAGCUCGAUGAGUAGGGCGGGACACGUGGUAUCCUGUCUGAAUAUGGGGGGACCAUCCUCCAAGGCUAAAUACUCCUGACUGACCGAUAGUGAACCAGUACCGUGAGGGAAAGGCGAAAAGAACCCCGGCGAGGGGAGUGAAAAAGAACCUGAAACCGUGUACGUACAAGCAGUGGGAGCACCCUUUGGGGUGUGACUGCGUACCUUUUGUAUAAUGGGUCAGCGACUUAUAUUCUGUAGCAAGGUUAACCGUAUAGGGGAGCCGUAGGGAAACCGAGUCUUAACCGGGCGUUAAGUUGCAGGGUAUAGACCCGAAACCCGGUGAUCUAGCCAUGGGCAGGUUGAAGGUUGGGUAACACUAACUGGAGGACCGAACCGACUAAUGUUGAAAAAUUAGCGGAUGACCUGUGGCUGGGGGUGAAAGGCCAAUCAAACCGGGAGAUAGCUGGUUCUCCCCGAAAGCUAUUUAGGUAGCGCCUCGUGAAUUCAUCUCCGGGGGUAGAGCACUGUUUCGGCUAGGGGGCCAUCCCGGCUUACCAACCCGAUGCAAACUGCGAAUACCGGAGAAUGUUAUCACGGGAGACACACGGCGGGUGCUAACGUCCGUCGUGAAGAGGGAAACAACCCAGACCGCCAGCUAAGGUCCCAAAGUCAUGGUUAAGUGGGAAACGAUGUGGGAAGGCCCAGACAGCCAGGAUGUUGGCUUAGAAGCAGCCAUCAUUUAAAGAAAGCGUAAUAGCUCACUGGUCGAGUCGGCCUGCGCGGAAGAUGUAACGGGGCUAAACCAUGCACCGAAGCUGCGGCAGCGACACUGUGUGUUGUUGGGUAGGGGAGCGUUCUGUAAGCCUGUGAAGGUGUGUCGUGAGGCAUGCUGGAGGUAUCAGAAGUGCGAAUGCUGACAUAAGUAACGAUAAAGCGGGUGAAAAGCCCGCUCGCCGGAAGACCAAGGGUUCCUGUCCAACGUUAAUCGGGGCAGGGUGAGUCGACCCCUAAGGCGAGGCCGAAAGGCGUAGUCGAUGGGAAACGGGUUAAUAUUCCCGUACUUGGUGUUACUGCGAAGGGGGGACGGAGAAGGCUAUGUUGGCCGGGCGACGGUUGUCCCGGUUUAAGCGUGUAGGUGUGUGUUCCAGGUAAAUCCGGUUCACUUUAACACUGAGGCGUGACGACGAGGCACUACGGUGCUGAAGCAACAAAUGCCCUGCUUCCAGGAAAAGCCUCUAAGCAUCAGGUAACAUCAAAUCGUACCCCAAACCGACACAGGUGGUCAGGUAGAGAAUACCAAGGCGCUUGAGAGAACUCGGGUGAAGGAACUAGGCAAAAUGGUGCCGUAACUUCGGGAGAAGGCACGCUGACACGUAGGUGAAGUGAUUUACUCAUGGAGCUGAAGUCAGUCGAAGAUACCAGCUGGCUGCAACUGUUUAUUAAAAACACAGCACUGUGCAAACACGAAAGUGGACGUAUACGGUGUGACGCCUGCCCGGUGCCGGAAGGUUAAUUGAUGGGGUCAGCGCAAGCGAAGCUCCUGAUCGAAGCCCCGGUAAACGGCGGCCGUAACUAUAACGGUCCUAAGGUAGCGAAAUUCCUUGUCGGGUAAGUUCCGACCUGCACGAAUGGCGUAAUGAUGGCCAGGCUGUCUCCACCCGAGACUCAGUGAAAUUGAACUCGCUGUGAAGAUGCAGUGUACCCGCGGCAAGACGGAAAGACCCCGUGAACCUUUACUAUAGCUUGACACUGAACAUUGAGCCUUGAUGUGUAGGAUAGGUGGGAGGCUUUGAAGUGUGGACGCCAGUCUGCAUGGAGCCGACCUUGAAAUACCACCCUUUAAUGUUUGAUGUUCUAACGUGGACCCGUUACCCGGGUUGCGGACAGUGUCUGGUGGGUAGUUUGACUGGGGCGGUCUCCUCCUAAAGAGUAACGGAGGAGCACGAAGGUUGGCUAAUCCUGGUCGGACAUCAGGAGGUUAGUGCAAUGGCAUAAGCCAGCUUGACUGCGAGCGUGACGGCGCGAGCAGGUGCGAAAGCAGGUCAUAGUGAUCCGGUGGUUCUGAAUGGAAGGGCCAUCGCUCAACGGAUAAAAGGUACUCCGGGGAUAACAGGCUGAUACCGCCCAAGAGUUCAUAUCGACGGCGGUGUUUGGCACCUCGAUGUCGGCUCAUCACAUCCUGGGGCUGAAGUAGGUCCCAAGGGUAUGGCUGUUCGCCAUUUAAAGUGGUACGCGAGCUGGGUUUAGAACGUCGUGAGACAGUUCGGUCCCUAUCUGCCGUGGGCGCUGGAGAACUGAGGGGGGCUGCUCCUAGUACGAGAGGACCGGAGUGGACGCAUCACUGGUGUUCGGGUUGUCAUGCCAAUGGCACUGCCCGGUAGCUAAAUGCGGAAGAGAUAAGUGCUGAAAGCAUCUAAGCACGAAACUUGCCCCGAGAUGAGUUCUCCCUGAGACUUAGAGUCUCCUGAAGGAACGUUGAAGACGACGACGUUGAUAGGCCGGGUGUGUAAGCGCAGCGAUGCGUUGAGCUAACCGGUACUAAUGAACCGUGAGGCUUAACCUUACAACGCCGAAG
rnacentral:rRNA from 1 species